rnacentral:lncRNA from 1 species
CAUCAUCUUUAGCAAGAUAGUUAUAUGACUUUCCGUGAGCCUUAUCAUUGUUCUGUUUAUAGGCGUCAAACCUAGAAGAGACCUUAUAAUCAGGUCCUUUGCUCAGGGUACACCAGAUAAGCGUACCCCCGAAAACGUUGUCGUGGACACUGAAUGUGUAAUCGAUUCCACCCGGUUUCAGAUAGUGGACACCCAUAUCGUCGUUCCCUGAUUUACAAUGUACUUUGAGCCAUUUCUUGUAACUAAGGCCGUUCCUGAAAUAGAGUGUUGUCUUCUCCCCUUUCAAUAAAUUGCCACCAUAUACAUUGUCGAUCAUGCAAAGUGUAAAAACAAAUAGAAAGAUUGAAAUAUUUUUCAUUUUUUUGUUUCUUUCUUUCUUUCUAGAUGUUUUAGAUAUAUAUAUAUUUUUCGUAUUGUUAAAACUUGUGUAUUGUGUUUGUGUUUUAUGGUGUUAUAUAUACACGUAGGUAUUGCUAUUUUUGAGGUUUUUUAACAUUAUCUUCUUGCUCUAUAAUUGGAAUUUUCUAUUAAAAAUUUAGGUGUAUCAAGUCGUUUCAAAUCAAUAGAUUAAUGUCGAUGGCCGGCUAUCCAUCCUCUCUAUUUAGCUAUGUUCCUCUCUUAUUAGUCAAGUUUGUUUUACAGCCUCUCUCUCUUAUUAGUCAAGUUGCAAAUAUGGUAGAAACCAUAAAACUAGAUUGAAUUUACGUUCUAAGGCAGAAAUAAUAUUGAAAACAGAUAUAAAACACGCACGCAUUAACCUAUUUAAUUAUUAGCGUACAAUUUACACCGAAAAAAUAAUAAUAAUAAUGCAGAUCCGGUUUAUCUCGGUUCGGUUUGUAUUAAACCUGGUCUCGAUCUACAGUUGUGAUUCGACCCUAAUGGUUAGACAAUAAGCUUAACCAUAUAAAUACAAAGAUAGAAAAAAAGAAAGAAAGAAGGAAACAGCUGAUCAAAAAUCAUCGACUCCCUGUUUCAGCUCCGGUAAGUUUCUCAUCUUCCUUUCUUCUCCUGUUCUUCAGACUGAGUUCAUUAAUCUAAGAGCUUGGUCUUUGAUUUAAACCGGUCCAUAGAUUCAAUUUUGUCUAACCAACGAUUUAAACCGGUUUAUUCCUCUGUGUAUAAAAAAAGAAGAAACAAAUAUUCUUGAUCGUUUCUUAUGCCCUAAGACUUUAGUGAGCUCUCUUACUUGUUGAUUACGUUUGGAGAAGCGAUUGUUUCGAAAUUGAUUGAUAUUUGGUGUGAUCAUCAGAUUUUUGAAGAGGGAGGAUGGAGAUGCAUAACAUUGUGGACUCAUUGAACAAAGCUUACGAGAAGUUUGUCAUUGCCUCAGCUAAUGUUCUUGAGUCCAAAGAGAGUGCUGGCGGGGAAAAAAAGCUACUCUCACUGAUGCUGCAUUAGAAGAUUUCAAGGAGGAGUGGGAGCUCUUCCGCGUGGCUUGUGAUCAAGCUGAGGAGUUUGUGAAGCAGAGGAUUGGGUCUGAGUGUUUAGUUGAUGAGGCUACUGGUUUAACAACGAGAAACUCAGGAGGCCAAAGUGUUGGUGCUGCGACUAGUCUCUCUCCCAUUAGUGCAGUAAGGCUGGAACAGAUGAGUAGAGCGGUUAGAUGGCUUGUGUUUGAGCUGCAACGUGGGUCUGGUGUAGCUGCUGGUUCUUUGCAUUCUUCCUCUAACGGGUUUGAUCCUAGAUUACCCUGAAGACUCAGACUCAAUAGAAUGCUUCCCUAAUUAACAAAUACACAUAUCACUUUGUGAGCUAAAACUGCAGCUGUUUAACUCUUGAGUCUGUUAUGAGGGAGGCUUUGUACUUGGUUGAAGAGUUCGCCUAAUCAGUUUUAUACACUGACAAAGCAAGAAGCAACACUUGUUUGUUUGAUCUGUAGGACUUGUGAGUGUUAACCAAAUUUUUUGCAUUUAGUUCUGAAUCUCAAGUAGAGAUAGACUGGGUUUUGCUGUAAUUCAUCAAUCAUCAUAGACAUUUUUGUUUGUUAAUCUGCUUUUAUAUUUUGUAUUGAAUCAUGUUUAUCCCGAACCGGUUUCCAUAGCUAAAGUCUUGAUAAAAGCGAAAAAGAAUGUGAUUCACAAGAAAACGAAAAGUUAGGUUUGAGAUUGUUUAAGCGCAAAAAGAAAUGUGACAGAUUGGUAUUCUGCUUAGUAGACAGUAAAAAACCAAGAUAACAAAACUGAUGUAUGCACAAACGUAAAUUACUGUUUAUAUUCAAAUGAAUGAUAGAAGCUUUGACCAUGCAAUGAACUGAUAUUAUAGACAGGAACGCUUUGGUCUAGAAUAUAAAGUCCAUUCUCUAAUAGACCGCUACCAUAAAAGAUAUCAUUACGAUCAAAGGAACAACACUUGGUUUUGAUCGAAAACUGAAAUCUUUCCAAAUCCAAAGAAGGAAUGGAAAUAAUAUUCCUACUUAUAGCAGGUACAUAAUAGCAAUUCGUAAGUUCUAAAACCAAGUCUGAAGGUAAAGAUAAAUGAAAUGUUCCCACGGCUAAUGCAGAAAUUCUUGCUCCAUUUCCCACUCGUAGGUCCACUUGACCUUUCUCCAAAAUUCUACUAUUGCUUAGGCCAUUCAUAUUCGUACAAAUAUGAGCACCACAACCGGUAUCCAAUACCCAUGAAGUAGAACCAGAAGUAGUAACAUUUACUUCUAUAACAUAAAUACCUCUAGGCGAUGUUUCAAAAGUCUUUUUCUUUUUCAGAUCUUCCAAGUAGGUUUUAAACUCUUGUUUGAGAACAAUUCUCGGGUUUUGAUACCAUUGGAGGAAAUUUGAUCCAUUCAAUUUGUCCUUUUUAAGGGCAUGUUGGAAUGAAAAUGGGUCGUGAGGAGUUAACAUGCUGGAAUAGAAGAAUAUCGAAUAUUAAUAUGAUGUUCAUGAAUUAGAGAAAUCUCAACAAUAAAGAAAACUCAUAUUAUAUUCAAACAAUUUCCUCAAAUGAAUAUAAUAAUCCAAGAUCCAUAUUUCACUAAAAUUCGAGUGAGCUUUGGCUCACCGCCAGAAUGUUUAGCUAUUUAGGUAAGCAACACUUUGCUAAUUAUAUCAAAUAUAAUUUGUGGUUGUCAGAUGACAUCUUAUGUCUUAUCCAACCUAUGUCUCUAAGCCCAAAACCGUUUUGAUAGCCUAGUCACGUAAACCAAUCUUAUAUUCAUAUGGUAACCGUUUAAGGGCAUGUUGGAAUGAAAAUGGGUCGUGAGGAGUUAACAUGCUGGAAUAGAAGAAUAUCGAAUAUUAAUAUGAUGUUCAUGAAUUAGAGAAAUCUCAACAAUAAAGAAAACUCAUAUUAUAUUCAAACAAUUUCCUCAAAUGAAUAUAAUAAUCCAAGAUCCAUAUUUCACUAAAAUUCGAGUGAGCUUUGGCUCACCGCCAGAAUGUUUAGCUAUUUAGGUAAGCAACACUUUGCUAAUUAUAUCAAAUAUAAUUUGUGGUUGUCAGAUGACAUCUUAUGUCUUAUCCAACCUAUGUCUCUAAGCCCAAAACCGUUUUGAUAGCCUAGUCACGUAAACCAAUCUUAUAUUCAUAUGGUAACCGUUACCAUCUACCUCACUUAUGUUGCAGACACCUUGCUUUGGCAAGCCCAUCUUACAAUGAAACAAGCCUUGAUAGUUGAUAAGAUUGGGUAGACAUCAAAAGUACUUGAAAUUAAUCGAGGAACAAAUUUUAAUUCAAUUUUAACUUAUAUUUAAAAUUUAUAUCUAAUAUAAAUAUAAAUAUAGCUAAUACAUAUCUUACAUGUAUUUUAAUUGAAUUAGAUAAUUAAAUUAAUUUUAUCUAAUUAAAAUAAUUAAUUAUUUCUAUAUUUGAUUUUAGAAUUUAAGCUAAUUAAAAUCUGAUCAAACGACCAACCCAAUUGGACCAAAUCAAUUGUAUCAAACAACCUAAACCAAUCGUUGGUUCAAUUGGUAUAGACACAUCUCAUAUGUGUUUUAGGUUUUAGAAACACACAUUCAAGUAUUACAAUAAUACGAUUGCCUCUUGAAAUUAUAUGUAUGCAACAUGCAACUUCUAUACAACAUGAACAAGAUCAUCACAUGACAACGCGUAAAUCUAGAUAUUUUUAAUCAGUUAAUUAUAAUAAUUGGAUUGAUCACAUCAAACAAAACUAUUAUGAAUUAACAAAUAACCAUGCGUCUUUCAAUUAAGAGUAGCACUAACGCUUAAUGGUUAUUUUAACAACAUAUUUCUCUUACGCACGAAUCAGAUUAAUUACGCUUCUGCGAAAUUGAUAACUACGCCAAUUUAAUUAUCGUUGAAACUAUAAGAUUAUUUAUCUAUACCAAAUUAUAGACUAAAUAAGAUCUGAUUUCAAUAUUCAGCAAGUAGGCUCUGAUACCACUAUUGGAAUUCAUACCGGUUUAUAACAAUUUAUAAAUCAACUUAUGACUUUAGUUUGCCUAGAUCUCAUGAAAAUACUGAAAUAAAUCUAGAUCUCAGGGUUCCAAAUAUAUAUGGUUAUUCACAGCGGAAAGAUAAUAAACCAAAUCGAAAUUUCUAAUACUCCAAACGUCGUGCCUCUACCAGUAUCCACACGCACACAAAUUGGAUCGAUACAGAAUGCUAGUGCCUUUGAGAUCAAAUCUCAAAUACUUGACAAACUCUUUUGUCUCUCUUAAGGUUUUAUUUAGUCGGCCAUUUUCUUAUCUGUCGAUCAAGUCACUUACGUGACCCUUUAUAAUCAUAUGACCAGAAGUUAAUGGGCCAAGCCCAAGUGAUAAUUAUCACUUCUUAACUCACGUUGCCCAUCACAUGCAUAUAAGUAUAUCACGUGAAUAUUAUAUAUAUCAUACAUAUAAUAUAAAUGUAUAAAACCCCAAAUAUUCAUGAUCCAAUUUGCGGUAUAUGACCCUGUAGGAUCAUAUAAUAUUAGUAAUGAAUUCCUAAUUCAUAGAUUAUAAUCGGUUUCUAGCAAAACAUUAUAACCACCUAAUAUUAUAUGAUUGUCGAAUCUUAACUCUACGAGUUUAACAAGAGUAAGUGCAAAUGAUUUUAGAACAUUCCCAACUAUAUCCACGCACAACAGACGGCACUAUCUCAAACAUAUAUUACAUGAUUCAUAUAAUUGUCAAAACAAACAGUUUCCUGGUCAGCUCACCUGAUACUCGAGUAGUGGCUUUAGUGCUUUACACAUUUCGGUUUGCAAGAUUCCUCGAGGUACUUCUUUUUUUCUUGCAUAAGAUUUGAAAAUGUAAUCAUGAAUGAGUUGUAUGUAAAAUUUGACAAAGCUAUAAACUUGAAAGAAGAAGAACAACGAUAGGUUGGUUCAUUGUGACCUUAUGGGUUGAAAUAGAAAGACCGAAUAAAAUUUAAAAGUGCACCUAAAGUCGUUUUCCCCUGCCCGGCCUCAAAGUAAAAAAAAUCAAACAUGGCAAGCAUUGCUAGCCUGGAGUGCUAAUGUUUUUUUUGCGAAGAAGGUUGUAAGAACAACAUAGACCAUCCAAGAGCAAAAUCUCUCAAAGACUUUAGAACGCUUCAAAUGCAUUACAAACGAAAGCACGAAUUGUGGAAGUGCAACUAAAAUGUUGGAAGCUGCGUGUGCCAAAAAGAGCUACAUAGAUUUGGAAGCCGAGAAGGAGAAUUGACAAUUAACCAUGUGAUUAAAAUCAAAUUAUAUUUUUGAACAACACCAAAGUUUAACUUCAAAUUUUGAAAUUCGGUGAAACAAAUGAGAAAGACUUUUAGUUACAAGAGUAUAUCAUUGACUUAUUUACAAGUAUAUCAUUUGUUUUUACAAGUAUAACAAAUCAAUGAAUAUACAAGUACAUACAUAUGUUUAAAGUAUCUGAUAUCAUGAGGGAAAUUGUUUAGUAUCUCCGAUUCCAGUCAAACUUCUUGUGAAGUUUAGGAUAUACUCGAUUUUGAUGAUAUAUGCCAUCAUCUUUAGCAAUAUAGCUAUAUGUGUCUCCGUGAGGCUCUCUAUUGUCCUCCACAUAGGCAUCAAACUUUGACGAGAUCUUAUAAUCAGGUCCUUUGCUCAGGGUGCACCAGAAAAGCGUGUUUCCCAUAAAGUUAUCGUGGAAACUGAAAUAGUAGAUUCCCUCCUGUUUCAGAUAGUGGACACCCAUAUCGUUGUUCCCUGAUUUACAAUGUACCUUGAGCCAUUUCUUGUAACGAAGUCCGUUCACGAACAAGAGUGUUGUAUUGGCCCGUUGAAAUAUAUUUGCACCUACAUUGCCGAUCAUGCAAAGGGUAAGAACAAAUAGAAAGAAUGAAGUAUUUUUCAUUUUUUUUUCUUUCUUUCUAGAUGUUUUAGAUAUAUAUUUAUGUAUUGUUAAAACUCGUGUUUGUGUUUUUGGUGUUAUAUAUACACAUAGUAUUGCUAUUUUUGAGUUUUUACAUUAUCUUCUUACUCUAUUAUUGGAAGUUUUCUAUUAAUGAUUUUAUCUAGUCGUUUCGAAAAAAUAGAUUGAUCCCAUCAAGUUUUCAAGAUUUUUUCCAAUGGCCUCCUCCCUAUUUAGGUAUGUUCCUCUCUUGUUGGUCAAGUUUGUUUUAUAGACUCUCGUUUUAAUCGAGUUAAGUUUAAUACAAUGUAGAAACAUUAAACUAGAUUGUACGAAUAUAGAUAAUAAUGGAAACAUAAUAAUAUAAGCAUGGAGAAAAUAUAGAAAUUAAAUGGGAUGAUGAGAGACGAUAUAACAAUAGGUAAGAGAAACAUCAAAAUGGUAUAGAAGCAAGCACACCAACAAAAUAGCCCUUUACAAGAAGAAAAAAAAAAUUGAACAAUAGUUCGUGAUGGUGGUCGUUGUAGAGUAUUUCACUUCUCAGAUUAUGUUAACGUGAAUAAAGACAGACUAUCGAUCACUAUUCUUCUAGUUCUCCGAAGCCUUGUCUCGAGCUGCAAAGAUGAUGCAGAAAUCAUCUAAAAAUGAAAGUUAUAAGUAGAUUAUAUUAUCCCAUUCCCAUAUCAAAUAUUGUUUUGACAAUCUUUUUUUUAACACUGAUAUCAUCUCUACUUUCUUGUGUGUGUUUUUGGGUUUAUGUUAUGACGUUAUUAUUUAAUUUGUCUUAGACUAUUUCUAAUGUAUUUUGCUAUAUUCUCUUCUAAAAUAGAGAAUCUCUAUAAUAAAGAUGAAAUUUGCUUCAAUGUAUUCUUCUAAUCUUCAAAAUAUAGAAUAAAGAAUAGAAAUUGCUAUUUCUUCCUCUAAAUAUAGAAAAAAAAUACUAGCAAUUUCUAUUUUAAAAGAAGAAAUAGCCGUGGAUUGAAGUGAAAUUAUUCUAAAUGCUAGAUGCUCUUAAGAGAAUCUGAAAACGGUAAAAAAGACUACCACAUGCAUAUACCUGACUAUAUUUAAAAUUUAUAAAUAGUAUUCAUUGCAUGUAACUUAGAGCUUAUUAAUAAAUCUGGGUUGGAAUUGUAUGUUAAGUGUUUGGAGAUUGAUUUAGUUCGCAUAUGCUAAAUUGGCUUGUUAAGGGUUUUGAGAUCAUUUCGCGUCACGAUCUAAUGAAGAAACGAUAGAAAAAUUAUAACUUUUAGAAAAUAUAUACUGAAUAACACCAAAGUUUAAUUUAUAAAUUUUAAAUACAAUGAAACAAAUAAGAACAACUUUAACAAGUAUAUCAUUUAUACAUUUACAAGUAUAUCACUGGUUUUUACAAGUAUAACAAAUAAAUGGUUUUAAUAUAUAAGUACAUAUAUUGAAAACAUCUGAUAACACGGGAGAUUUAGUUUGUGAUCUCUAUUUCCAGUCAAACUUCUUGUGAAGUUUAAAUUCCACAAGAUUACUGUGAUAGAUGCCAUCAUCUUUAGCAAGAUAGUUAUAUGACUUUCCGUGAGCCUUAUCAUUGUUCUGUUUAUAGGCGUCAAACCUAGAAGAGACCUUAUAAUCAGGUCCUUUGCUCAGGGUACACCAGAUAAGCGUACCCCCGAAAACGUUGUCGUGGACACUGAAUGUGUAAUCGAUUCCACCCGGUUUCAGAUAGUGGACACCCAUAUCGUCGUUCCCUGAUUUACAAUGUACUUUGAGCCAUUUCUUGUAACUAAGGCCGUUCCUGAAAUAGAGUGUUGUCUUCUCCCCUUUCAAUAAAUUGCCACCAUAUACAUUGUCGAUCAUGCAAAGUGUAAAAACAAAUAGAAAGAUUGAAAUAUUUUUCAUUUUUUUGUUUCUUUCUUUCUUUCUAGAUGUUUUAGAUAUAUAUAUAUUUUUCGUAUUGUUAAAACUUGUGUAUUGUGUUUGUGUUUUAUGGUGUUAUAUAUACACGUAGGUAUUGCUAUUUUUGAGGUUUUUUAACAUUAUCUUCUUGCUCUAUAAUUGGAAUUUUCUAUUAAAAAUUUAGGUGUAUCAAGUCGUUUCAAAUCAAUAGAUUAAUGUCGAUGGCCGGCUAUCCAUCCUCUCUAUUUAGCUAUGUUCCUCUCUUAUUAGUCAAGUUUGUUUUACAGCCUCUCUCUCUUAUUAGUCAAGUUGCAAAUAUGGUAGAAACCAUAAAACUAGAUUGAAUUUACGUUCUAAGGCAGAAAUAAUAUUGAAAACAGAUAUAAAACACGCACGCAUUAACCUAUUUAAUUAUUAGCGUACAAUUUACACCGAAAAAAUAAUAAUAAUAAUGCAGAUCCGGUUUAUCUCGGUUCGGUUUGUAUUAAACCUGGUCUCGAUCUACAGUUGUGAUUCGACCCUAAUGGUUAGACAAUAAGCUUAACCAUAUAAAUACAAAGAUAGAAAAAAAGAAAGAAAGAAGGAAACAGCUGAUCAAAAAUCAUCGACUCCCUGUUUCAGCUCCGGUAAGUUUCUCAUCUUCCUUUCUUCUCCUGUUCUUCAGACUGAGUUCAUUAAUCUAAGAGCUUGGUCUUUGAUUUAAACCGGUCCAUAGAUUCAAUUUUGUCUAACCAACGAUUUAAACCGGUUUAUUCCUCUGUGUAUAAAAAAAGAAGAAACAAAUAUUCUUGAUCGUUUCUUAUGCCCUAAGACUUUAGUGAGCUCUCUUACUUGUUGAUUACGUUUGGAGAAGCGAUUGUUUCGAAAUUGAUUGAUAUUUGGUGUGAUCAUCAGAUUUUUGAAGAGGGAGGAUGGAGAUGCAUAACAUUGUGGACUCAUUGAACAAAGCUUACGAGAAGUUUGUCAUUGCCUCAGCUAAUGUUCUUGAGUCCAAAGAGAGUGCUGGCGGGGAAAAAAAGCUACUCUCACUGAUGCUGCAUUAGAAGAUUUCAAGGAGGAGUGGGAGCUCUUCCGCGUGGCUUGUGAUCAAGCUGAGGAGUUUGUGAAGCAGAGGAUUGGGUCUGAGUGUUUAGUUGAUGAGGCUACUGGUUUAACAACGAGAAACUCAGGAGGCCAAAGUGUUGGUGCUGCGACUAGUCUCUCUCCCAUUAGUGCAGUAAGGCUGGAACAGAUGAGUAGAGCGGUUAGAUGGCUUGUGUUUGAGCUGCAACGUGGGUCUGGUGUAGCUGCUGGUUCUUUGCAUUCUUCCUCUAACGGGUUUGAUCCUAGAUUACCCUGAAGACUCAGACUCAAUAGAAUGCUUCCCUAAUUAACAAAUACACAUAUCACUUUGUGAGCUAAAACUGCAGCUGUUUAACUCUUGAGUCUGUUAUGAGGGAGGCUUUGUACUUGGUUGAAGAGUUCGCCUAAUCAGUUUUAUACACUGACAAAGCAAGAAGCAACACUUGUUUGUUUGAUCUGUAGGACUUGUGAGUGUUAACCAAAUUUUUUGCAUUUAGUUCUGAAUCUCAAGUAGAGAUAGACUGGGUUUUGCUGUAAUUCAUCAAUCAUCAUAGACAUUUUUGUUUGUUAAUCUGCUUUUAUAUUUUGUAUUGAAUCAUGUUUAUCCCGAACCGGUUUCCAUAGCUAAAGUCUUGAUAAAAGCGAAAAAGAAUGUGAUUCACAAGAAAACGAAAAGUUAGGUUUGAGAUUGUUUAAGCGCAAAAAGAAAUGUGACAGAUUGGUAUUCUGCUUAGUAGACAGUAAAAAACCAAGAUAACAAAACUGAUGUAUGCACAAACGUAAAUUACUGUUUAUAUUCAAAUGAAUGAUAGAAGCUUUGACCAUGCAAUGAACUGAUAUUAUAGACAGGAACGCUUUGGUCUAGAAUAUAAAGUCCAUUCUCUAAUAGACCGCUACCAUAAAAGAUAUCAUUACGAUCAAAGGAACAACACUUGGUUUUGAUCGAAAACUGAAAUCUUUCCAAAUCCAAAGAAGGAAUGGAAAUAAUAUUCCUACUUAUAGCAGGUACAUAAUAGCAAUUCGUAAGUUCUAAAACCAAGUCUGAAGGUAAAGAUAAAUGAAAUGUUCCCACGGCUAAUGCAGAAAUUCUUGCUCCAUUUCCCACUCGUAGGUCCACUUGACCUUUCUCCAAAAUUCUACUAUUGCUUAGGCCAUUCAUAUUCGUACAAAUAUGAGCACCACAACCGGUAUCCAAUACCCAUGAAGUAGAACCAGAAGUAGUAACAUUUACUUCUAUAACAUAAAUACCUCUAGGCGAUGUUUCAAAAGUCUUUUUCUUUUUCAGAUCUUCCAAGUAGGUUUUAAACUCUUGUUUGAGAACAAUUCUCGGGUUUUGAUACCAUUGGAGGAAAUUUGAUCCAUUCAAUUUGUCCUUUUUAAGGGCAUGUUGGAAUGAAAAUGGGUCGUGAGGAGUUAACAUGCUGGAAUAGAAGAAUAUCGAAUAUUAAUAUGAUGUUCAUGAAUUAGAGAAAUCUCAACAAUAAAGAAAACUCAUAUUAUAUUCAAACAAUUUCCUCAAAUGAAUAUAAUAAUCCAAGAUCCAUAUUUCACUAAAAUUCGAGUGAGCUUUGGCUCACCGCCAGAAUGUUUAGCUAUUUAGGUAAGCAACACUUUGCUAAUUAUAUCAAAUAUAAUUUGUGGUUGUCAGAUGACAUCUUAUGUCUUAUCCAACCUAUGUCUCUAAGCCCAAAACCGUUUUGAUAGCCUAGUCACGUAAACCAAUCUUAUAUUCAUAUGGUAACCGUUACCAUCUACCUCACUUAUGUUGCAGACACCUUGCUUUGGCAAGCCCAUCUUACAAUGAAACAAGCCUUGAUAGUUGAUAAGAUUGGGUAGACAUCAAAAGUACUUGAAAUUAAUCGAGGAACAAAUUUUAAUUCAAUUUUAACUUAUAUUUAAAAUUUAUAUCUAAUAUAAAUAUAAAUAUAGCUAAUACAUAUCUUACAUGUAUUUUAAUUGAAUUAGAUAAUUAAAUUAAUUUUAUCUAAUUAAAAUAAUUAAUUAUUUCUAUAUUUGAUUUUAGAAUUUAAGCUAAUUAAAAUCUGAUCAAACGACCAACCCAAUUGGACCAAAUCAAUUGUAUCAAACAACCUAAACCAAUCGUUGGUUCAAUUGGUAUAGACACAUCUCAUAUGUGUUUUAGGUUUUAGAAACACACAUUCAAGUAUUACAAUAAUACGAUUGCCUCUUGAAAUUAUAUGUAUGCAACAUGCAACUUCUAUACAACAUGAACAAGAUCAUCACAUGACAACGCGUAAAUCUAGAUAUUUUUAAUCAGUUAAUUAUAAUAAUUGGAUUGAUCACAUCAAACAAAACUAUUAUGAAUUAACAAAUAACCAUGCGUCUUUCAAUUAAGAGUAGCACUAACGCUUAAUGGUUAUUUUAACAACAUAUUUCUCUUACGCACGAAUCAGAUUAAUUACGCUUCUGCGAAAUUGAUAACUACGCCAAUUUAAUUAUCGUUGAAACUAUAAGAUUAUUUAUCUAUACCAAAUUAUAGACUAAAUAAGAUCUGAUUUCAAUAUUCAGCAAGUAGGCUCUGAUACCACUAUUGGAAUUCAUACCGGUUUAUAACAAUUUAUAAAUCAACUUAUGACUUUAGUUUGCCUAGAUCUCAUGAAAAUACUGAAAUAAAUCUAGAUCUCAGGGUUCCAAAUAUAUAUGGUUAUUCACAGCGGAAAGAUAAUAAACCAAAUCGAAAUUUCUAAUACUCCAAACGUCGUGCCUCUACCAGUAUCCACACGCACACAAAUUGGAUCGAUACAGAAUGCUAGUGCCUUUGAGAUCAAAUCUCAAAUACUUGACAAACUCUUUUGUCUCUCUUAAGGUUUUAUUUAGUCGGCCAUUUUCUUAUCUGUCGAUCAAGUCACUUACGUGACCCUUUAUAAUCAUAUGACCAGAAGUUAAUGGGCCAAGCCCAAGUGAUAAUUAUCACUUCUUAACUCACGUUGCCCAUCACAUGCAUAUAAGUAUAUCACGUGAAUAUUAUAUAUAUCAUACAUAUAAUAUAAAUGUAUAAAACCCCAAAUAUUCAUGAUCCAAUUUGCGGUAUAUGACCCUGUAGGAUCAUAUAAUAUUAGUAAUGAAUUCCUAAUUCAUAGAUUAUAAUCGGUUUCUAGCAAAACAUUAUAACCACCUAAUAUUAUAUGAUUGUCGAAUCUUAACUCUACGAGUUUAACAAGAGUAAGUGCAAAUGAUUUUAGAACAUUCCCAACUAUAUCCACGCACAACAGACGGCACUAUCUCAAACAUAUAUUACAUGAUUCAUAUAAUUGUCAAAACAAACAGUUUCCUGGUCAGCUCACCUGAUACUCGAGUAGUGGCUUUAGUGCUUUACACAUUUCGGUUUGCAAGAUUCCUCGAGGUACUUCUUUUUUUCUUGCAUAAGAUUUGAAAAUGUAAUCAUGAAUGAGUUGUAUGUAAAAUUUGACAAAGCUAUAAACUUGAAAGAAGAAGAACAACGAUAGGUUGGUUCAUUGUGACCUUAUGGGUUGAAAUAGAAAGACCGAAUAAAAUUUAAAAGUGCACCUAAAGUCGUUUUCCCCUGCCCGGCCUCAAAGUAAAAAAAAUCAAACAUGGCAAGCAUUGCUAGCCUGGAGUGCUAAUGUUUUUUUUGCGAAGAAGGUUGUAAGAACAACAUAGACCAUCCAAGAGCAAAAUCUCUCAAAGACUUUAGAACGCUUCAAAUGCAUUACAAACGAAAGCACGAAUUGUGGAAGUGCAACUAAAAUGUUGGAAGCUGCGUGUGCCAAAAAGAGCUACAUAGAUUUGGAAGCCGAGAAGGAGAAUUGACAAUUAAUGUGGAAAACCAAACGAAACCAUGAUCGUAGGGAGCCGAGGACUUGGAUAAAUAUUUGGAACGUAGAUAUGAUAACCUUAAGUCUUUACUGAAAACUUGAUUUGACAACCAAGUUUGUCAGUGUUAUUACAGAGUUUUAUCAUAAAAAACAACCAGAAAAGAGAAAAGAAGGAGAUGGCAUUGCAAGACAAGUUAAUAACACGAGACAGCAUUUGGGAGAGAGAGAGAGAGAUUUCUAGUCCGUAGUCAUGAUCGCCUUCUGAUUUCCCUCAGAUAGAAUUGCUUUAUCUGUCUCAGCCAUAGCCAACCUAGCUGCUUUAGCUCUCUCAGCCUUAGCCAACCUAGCUGCUUUAGACAAUCUCCGAUAGGAAUUCUUCCCAUUGGAGUUCUUAAUAUAUGUAUUAUGUAUAUAUAUACACUACAAGAAAACAGCGGCAUACUGAGGGAAAAAAUUGUCGGUAUGUCGUCGGAAUAACGCUAUUCCGACGACAUACCGACGAAAAAAGUCCUCGGAAAUAACUCCUCGGAAAUUCAUCUUUCCUCGGAAAUCCCUCGGAAAUUUCCGACGGAAUUCCGAGGACUUUUUUUCGUCGGAAAUUCCUCGGAAUAUUCCGAGGAAUAUGUCGUCGGAAUAUUCCGAGGGAUACACUUCCUCGGAAUAUUUCCAAAAUUCAAAAAAAAAAAUUAUAAAUUUAUUUUUUUAAUUUGAAAUUCAAAAAUAUAAAAUUAAAAUUGAAAUAAAAAACAUAUUUAAAAUACAAAAAAUAAUAAAAUAGUUUUUAUAAAUAAAAAAAUGUUUUAUAAAUACAAAAUUAGUUUUAAUAAAUAUAAAUAUUUUUAUAAAUAUGAAAUCAUCUUUUUAUAAAUACAAAAUAGUUUUUAUAAAUACAAAAAAAAAAAAAUAGUGUUUAAAAAUAAAAAAAAUGUUUUAUAAAUACAAAAUUAGUUUUAAUAAAUAUAAAUAUUUUUAUAAAUAUGAAAUCAUCUUUUAUAAAUCCAAAAAUCGAAUUUAUAUACAAAAACGUUUUGUAAAAUCGAAUUUAUAUAAACGUUUUGUAAAUACAAAAAUAAUAAACAAUUUAUAAAAAAAGUUCUAAAUCAAUUCAACACAACCAAAUCACAAUUCUAAACCUAUUACACAACAAAUCACAAUCCUACCCAAUCACCCUAACAAAAAUCUAUCAAAAAACUUCUAAAAUCAUCAAAUCUACUUAAAAACCUAACAAAUAGGACCUAAGAGAGUGGGAUAAGGUCCUUACAUGAUUUGUAAAGGAAUGGAAAGGAUUCGCCGGAGAGAUCGUCGCGAGAGAAGGUGGAGAACGCCGGAAGGAGAGAGAGAUCGCCGGAGAGGAAGAAGAGAGAAAUGGGGAAGAAGAUGCGGUUCGAGUUUAUAAAACCUUGGGUCUGACGGAUAUUUUCCGUCGGAAUUCCCUCAGUAUUUUCAAUUUCAAUUUUCGCGAAAUAUUUGGCGGCUUGUUUGCCCGGUUAAAUGAAAAUAUUCCGAAGAAAUUCCGACGGCCACUUAAAUAUCCGUCGGAAUUUCCUCGGAAUAUUUUCAUUAAUUCGAGGAAAAAGAAUAUCCUGUGCAUGUAUUUCUAUUAAUUUAUAUUGUUCCUCGGAAUUUCCUCGGAAUAUUCCGAGGAAAUACCGAGGAACUAGUGUUUGGGGUUUCAAAACAUCAAUUUUUUUUGCCGUAUUUCAUUUCUUAUACAAUUGUAAUGCAUACCAUUGAAGAUUCUUUGUAUAGAUGAGCAUAAACCAUGAAAUAACAAAUUUCAAAACGAAUUGUAAGUAUUCCCUUUACCGUUCAUUAAAGUGUAUAAGUGUUUCUCUUAUGUUGUGGGGAUUUCGUUCAUACAAUCGGAAAAGUGUUUAUUAUAGGGUAAUGAACAAAUUUUUGACUUCAUAAUGAACGUAAGACACUUAAUAAGAGUUAUAUAGGUGUUAUUCAAACCGCAAAACGUUGUUUUCGGUUUAAAAACCCUAUUUCCUCGGAAUUUCCUCAGAAUAUUCUGAGGGAAUUCCGAGGAAACCCUUUUCUUCCUCAGAAUUCCGUCGAAAUAUUCCGAGAAAAUUCCGAGGAACUAGUGUUUGGGGUUUCAAAACGUCAAUUUUUUUUAAACGAAUCGAUCGAUGGAUAUAUAUCCAAAAACGCAUCGAUCGAUCACUAAGAUGGACCAAAGCGUAACAAUGUGAUCGAUCAAUAAGAUUAUCCCAUUGAUCGAUGGAGGAUAUCAAGUGUUCCUCGGAAUUUCCUCGGAAUAUUCCGAGGAAAUUCUGAGGAACUAGUGUUUGGGGUUUCAAAAUCUCGAAUGUUUUUUUAUAAACGGAUCGAUCGAUGUAUUUAUGUCCAAAAACGCAUCGAUCGAUCACUAAGAAGGACCAAAGCGUAUCAAUGUGAUCGAUCGAUUAGAUUAUAUUCUUCUUCAAAGAGCACAUAAUAGUUCACCAGACUUUUUAGACCAUCUCCAAUGGGGGUUCUUCCCAUUGGAGUUCUUAAUAUAUGUAUUAUGUAUAUAUUAUAUAUGUGUAAAUAAUUGUGGGGUCCACAAUUAUUGUGGAAAUCCAUAAAUAAGGGUUCUUAGGGAUUCUUAAAACCAUGUUUUAAGAACCCUUGCCUAUGGGGUUCCACAAAAAUUGUGGACCCCACAAUUACUUAUACAUAUAUAAUAUAUACAUACAUAUAUAUAUAUAUACAUAACACAUAUAUUAAGAACUCCAAGGGGAAGAAUCCCGUUAGAAAAUAUAUAUUGAAUAACACCAAAGUUUAAUUUAUAAAUUUUAAAUACAGUGAAAAAAAUAAGAACAAUUUUUACAAGUAUAUCCUUGAUAUAUUCACAAGCUAUAUCACUGGUUUUUACAAGUAUAACAAAUAAAUGGUGUUAAUAUAUAAGUACAUAUAUUGAAAACAUCUGAUAACACGGGAGACUUAGUUUGUGAUCUCUAUUUCCAGUCAAACUUCUUGUGAAGUUUAAAUUCCGUAUAUAUUAUAUAUGUGUAAAUAAUUGUGGGGUCCAUAAUUAUUGUGGAAAUUCAUAAAUAAGGGUUCUUAGGGAUUCUUAAAACCCUCUUUUAAGAGCACCAUUUUUGCAGGUUCCAAAGGGAGUUUUUAAAGAUUUUGGGUCCCACAAACAAAACGUUGUCGUGGAAACUGAAUGUGUAAUCGCUUGCACCAGGUUUCAGAUAGUGGACACCCAUAUCGUCGUUCCCUGAUUUACAAUGUACCUUGAGCCAUUUCUUGUAACUAAGGCCGUUCCUGAAAUAUAGAGUUGUCUUAUCCCCUUUCAAUAAAUUGGCACCAUAUGCAUUGUCGAUCAUGCAAAGUGUAAAAACAAAUAGAAAGAUUGAA